rnacentral:rRNA from 1 species
UACAGAGGUCUCAAGCGUUGUUCGGAUUCAUUGGGCGUAAAGGGUGCGUAGGUGGCGCGGUAAGUCGGGUGUGAAAUCUCGGGGCUUAACUCCGAAACUGCAUUCGAUACUGCCGUGCUUGAGGACUGGAGAGGAGACUGGAAUUUACGGUGUAGCAGUGAAAUGCGUAGAUAUCGAUAAGGAAGACCAGUGGCGAAGGCGGGUCUCUGGACAGUUCCUGACACUGAGGCACGAAGGCCAGGGGAGCAAACGGG